rnacentral:rRNA from 1 species
GUACAUGCCGUAUUAAGGCGAAACCGCGAAUGGCUCAUUAAAUCAGUUAUGGUUCCUUGGAUCGUACCUUACUACUUGGAUAACUGUGGCAAUUCUAGAGCUAAUACAUGCAGCAGAGCUCCGACCUUCGGGGACGAGCGCUUUUAUUAGACCAAAACCAAUCGGACCUCGCGUCCGUAUCUGGUGGUGACUCUGUAUAACUUUGGGCUGAUCGCACGGGCCUGUCCCGGCGACGUAUCUUUCAAGUGUCUGCCUUAUCAACUUUCGAUGGUAGGUUACGCGCCUACCAUGGUCGUAACGGGUAACGGGGAAUCAGGGUUCGAUUCCGGAGAGGGAGCCUGAGAAACGGCUACCACAUCCAAGGAAGGCAGCAGGCGCGCAAAUUACCCACUCCCGGAACGGGGAGGUAGUGACGAAAAAUAACAAUACGGGACUCUUUUGAGACCCCGUAAUUGGAAUGAGUACACUCUAAAUCCUUUAACGAGGAUCUAUUGGAGGGCAAGUCUAGUGCCAGCAGCCGCGGUAAUUCUAGCUCCAAUAGCGUAUAUUAAAGUUGUUGCGGUUAAAAAGCUCGUAGUUGGAUCUCAGUUCCAGACGGGUGGUCCGCCUACCGGUGGUUACUGCCUGUUCUGAACAGCCAGCCGGUUUCUCUUGAUGAUCUUCACCGGUUGUCUUGGGUGACCGGCAAGUUUACUUUGAAAAAAUUAGAGUGCUCAAAGCAGGCGUGACGCCUGAAUAAUGGUGCAUGGAAUAAUGGAAUAGGACCUCGGUUCUAUUUUGUUGGUUUUCGGAACACGAGGUAAUGAUUAAGAGGGACAGACGGGGGCAUUCGUAUUGCGACGCUAGAGGUGAAAUUCUUGGACCGUCGCAAGACGAACUACUGCGAAAGCAUUUGCCAAGAAUGUUUCCAUUAAUCAAGAACGAAAGUUAGAGGUUCGAAGGCGAUCAGAUACCGCCCUAGUUCUAACCAUAAACGAUGCCAGCCAGCGAUCCGGCUGUGUUCCUCAAAUGACACGCCGGGCAGCUUCCGGGAAACCAAAGCUUUUGGGUUCCGGGGGAAGUAUGGUUGCAAAGCUGAAACUUAAAGGAAUUGACGGAGGGGCACCACCAGGAAUGGAGCCUGCGGCUUAAUUUGAC